rnacentral:rRNA from 1 species
UACGUAGGGUGCAAGCGUUGUCCGGAUUUAUUGGGCGUAAAGAGCUCGUAGGCGGUUUGAUUAGUCGGGUGUGAAACCUCCAGGCUUAACCUGGAGCCGCCACUCGAUACUGUCAUGACUAGAAUUCGGUAGGGGGCCACGGAAUUCCUGGUGUAGCGGUGAAAUGCGCAGAUAUCAGGAGGAACACCAGCAGCGAAGGCGGUGGUCUGGGCCGACAUUGACGCUGAGGAGCGAAAGCGUGGGGAGCGAACAGG